GAUGAACGCUGGCGGCGUGCCUAAUACAUGCAAGUCGAGCGAACAGACGAGGAGCUUGCUUCUCUGACGUUAGCGGCGGACGGGUGAGUAACACGUGGAUAACCUACCUAUAAGACUGGGAUAACUUCGGGAAACCGGAGCUAAUACCGGAUAAUAUAUUGAACCGCAUGGUUCAAUAGUGAAAGACGGUUUUGCUGUCACUUAUAGAUGGAUCCGCGCCGCAUUAGCUAGUUGGUAAGGUAACGGCUUACCAAGGCAACGAUGCGUAGCCGACCUGAGAGGGUGAUCGGCCACACUGGAACUGAGACACGGUCCAGACUCCUACGGGAGGCAGCAGUAGGGAAUCUUCCGCAAUGGGCGAAAGCCUGACGGAGCAACGCCGCGGGAGUGAUGAAGGUCUUCGGAUCGUAAAACUCUGUUAUUAGGGAAGAACAAAUGUGUAAGUAACUAUGCACGUCUUGACGGUACCUAAUCAGAAAGCCACGGCUAACUACGU
rnacentral:rRNA from 1 species